GUGGGGGGAGAGUCUAACUUGUUUAUUUAGUCUUUUGGUAAUUUAAUUCACAACCAUGAUAUCUGGACAUGUAUUAUGAGGUACAUUGAAUUGUAGGACAUGAAUAUUCAACCAUUCGCCGUCUUCAGCCCGUGCAUCUACGAUGGACUGAACAGCUCUGGUCUGUCUGCUGUGAUUACAGCGUACUCCCAGCCCUUCCGACAACCACCCGAGACCAGGAAGCGAUGAAGGCUAGCUGGCCAUUAAUAUGCUGAGAGGCUAAAUACAUACAAAUGAGAUGAUUAUACAAAAUAGAAUACAGCUCUCAGAAUAAAGAUCUCCACAGCUACACACAAUUAUAGGAAUAAAUCUCACAAAGAAGUCUCAUAGAGCCAAAGCAGUAUGUUUUUAUCAGUCCUUGAGCGGAAUGGGGACGAUGUGGAAAUAGAAGAACUUAGCUUUGCAGAGUCCCCUAAAUGCCUUGUCCAGCGCUCGAGGUAUCUAUCCCUCAAAAAAGUAUUACAAUUGCAUUCUGGGGAAGAAAAGAAGACGGACUUCUAGAAGGCUCAACCAAUUUAAGAAUAUUGGUCACGCAUUGGAUUUGGGCCUAGCCCAACUUCUGCGCCCAGCUGGUAAUGUAACCUUGAG